rnacentral:rRNA from 1 species
UGGGGAAUAUUGCACAAUGGGCGCAAGCCUGAUGCAGCCAUGCCGCGUGUAUGAAGAAGGCCUUCGGGUUGUAAAGUACUUUCAGUCGGGAGGAAGGUGUCAAGGUUAAUAACCUUGGCAAUUGACGUUACCGACAGAAGAAGCACCGGCUAACUCCGUGCCAGCAGCCGCGGUAAUACGGAGGGUGCAAGCGUUAAUCGGAAUUACUGGGCGUAAAGCGCACGCAGGCGGUUGAUUGAGUCAGAUGUGAAAUCCCCGGGCUUAACCCGGGAAUUGCAUCUGAUACUGGGCAGCUAGAGUCUUGUAGAGGGGGGUAGAAUUCCAUGUGUAGCGGUGAAAUGCGUAGAGAUGUGGAGGAAUACCGGUGGCGAAGGCGGCCCCCUGGACAAAGACUGACGCUCAGGUGCGAAAGCGGGGGGAGCAAACAGG